rnacentral:rRNA from 1 species
AGAACGAACGCUGGCGGCAGGCUUAACACAUGCAAGUCGAGCGCCCCGCAAGGGGAGCGGCAGACGGGUGAGUAACGCGUGGGAACAUACCCUCCGGUUCGGAAUAGCUCAGGGAAACUUGGAUUAAUACCGGAUACGGCCUAGCGGCGAAAGAUUGAUCGCCGGAGGAUUGGCCCGCGUCUGAUUAGCUAGUUGGUGGGGUAAUGGCCCACCAAGGCGACGAUCAGUAGCUGGUCUGAGAGGAUGAUCAGCCACAUUGGGACUGAGACACGGCCCAAACUCCUACGGGAGGCAGCAGUGGGGAAUAUGGACAAUGGGCGCAAGCCUGAUCCAGCCAUGCCGCGUGAGUGAUGACGGCCUUAGGGUUGUAAAGCUCUUUCGCUAGGGACGAUAAUGACGGUACCUAGACAAGAACGCCCCGGCUAACUUCGUGCCAGCAGCCGC